GGGGGGGGGAGAUAAUGUAGGGCUCUGAUGUAUUUUGCAGUUGAAAAGCAUAAAUCGAGGAGGUUGGAAUCCUUUUUUUUUUUAAAUAAUCAUCGUGUAGUUGAGGACAGCCUGGAAAAUUUUCUGCGAAAAUUAUUUGGGGCCUUUGAAUGGAUCGUGGAAAAAAAAAACUGCAGUAAAUAACCAAGUACUUACCACCUGAAUCACACAGUGCUGUUGUUACCUUCUGUAAAUUAUUCUGUUAUUUACCUGUACCAGCGCGUGUGUGUAUGUGUGUGAGUGUGUGUGCUGUUUUCCUCCUCCGCUUGUUUUGUUCCCAUGUCAGGCUGCUCUCUUGCGUAAUGGCACAACGCUGCGCCACGCGCGCCAAAGGAGGCUGUUUAAAGUGGUUAAAGGUUUAGACAUGAUGUUUAACGUCUUAAUUAUAAUUAUUAAAUAAAAAAAGAAAAAGGAAGAAAGAAAAAGACGCCAAUGGUUCCAAAUGACAAAGUGACAGUCUUCGUUGUUGGCUCACUAUUUGGCAGGCUCAUAUUUGCACCGGUUCGUGUUUAAAGUGGUUAAAGGUUUAGACAUGAUGUUUAAAGUCUUAAUUAUAAUUAUAAAAUAAAAAAUAAAAAAUAAAAAAGGAAGAAAGAAAAAGACGCCAAUGGUUCCAAAUGACAAAGUGACAGUCUUCGUUGUUGGCUCACUAUUUGGCAGGCUCAUAUUUGCACCGGUUCGUGUUUAAAGUGGUUAAAGGUUUAGACAUGAUGUUUAAAGUCUUAAUUAUAAUUAUAAAAUAAAAAAUAAAAAAUAAAAAAGGAAGAAAGAAAAAGACGCCAAUGGUUCCAAAUGACAAAGUGACAGUCUUCGUUGUUGGCUCACUAUUUGGCA